rnacentral:rRNA from 1 species
CGCGUAGGCGGAUGUUACAGUCAGGCGUGAAAUUCCUGGGCUCAACCUGGGGCUGCGUUUGAUACGUGAUGUCUGGAGUUCGGAAGAGGGUCGUGGAAUUCCCAGUGUAGAGGUGAAAUUCGUAGAUAUUGGGAAGAACACCGGUGGCGAAGGCGGCGACCUGGUCCGAUACUGACGCUGAGGCGCGAAAGCGUGGGGAGCAAACAGGAUUAGAUACCCUGGUAGUCCACGCUGUAAACGAUGUGCGCUGGAUGUUGGGUGACAUAGUCAUUCAGUGUCGUAGCUAACGCGAUAAGCGCACCGCCUGGGGAGUACGGCCGCAAGGUUGAA